ACGGAAGGCAGCAGUGGGGAAUAUUGGACAAUGGGGGAAACCCUGAUCCAGCGACGCCGCGUGAGUGAAGAAGUAUUUCGGUAUGUAAAGCUCUAUCAGCAAGGAAGAAAAUGACGGUACUUGACUAAGAAGCUCCGGCUAAAUACGUGCCAGCAGCCGCGGUAAUACGUAUGGAGCAAGCGUUAUCCGGAUUUACUGGGUGUAAAGGGAGCGUAGACGGCAAAGCAAGUCCGAAGUGAAAUCCCGGGGCUCAACCCCGGAACUGCUUUGGAAACUGUUUAGCUAGAGUGCAGGAGAGGUAAGCGGAAUUCCUAGUGUAGCGGUGAAAUGCGUAGAUAUUAGGAGGAACACCAGUGGCGAAGGCGGCUUACUGGACUGUAACUGACGUUGAGGCUCGAAAGCGUAGGGAGCAAACAGGAUUAGAUACCCUGGUA
rnacentral:rRNA from 1 species